rnacentral:rRNA from 1 species
AUCUUAUUGUUUGAAUGAUAAGUGGGGCCUGCCAGUGAGUUUUUUAACGGCCGCGGUAACUUGACCGUGCAAAGGUAGCAUAAUCAUUUGUUUUUUAAUUGAAAACUGGAAUGAAAGGUCUGACGGGGGGGAGCUUUCUUUGAAUAAAAAUAGAAUUUUAGUUUUUUGUGAAGACGCUAAAAUGUAAAUAAAAGACGAGAAGACCCUAUCAAGCUUUACUUGGUUUAUAUUUUAUUUAUUUGUUCAUUUUAUAGAAAGAGUUUUGUUGGGGCAACAGAUAUUGAUAUAAUUUAUUUUUUUAUAAGACUUUCUGUAUUUUAUGAUCCUUUUUUUAGAUAAUAAGAUUAAGUUACUGUAGGGAUAACAGCAUAAUCAUACUGGAGAGUUCCUAUUGAUAGUAUGGAUUGUGACCUCGAUGUUGAAUUAGGAUACCUGUUGUAUGCAGAAGUACAGUAAGGAGGUCUGUUCGACCUUUAUUUUCCUACG